rnacentral:rRNA from 1 species
CAGUCGCCGCGGUAAUACGAAGGGUGCAAGCGUUACUCGGAAUUACUGGGCGUAAAGCGUGUGUAGGUGGUUGUUUAAGUCUGUCGUGAAAGCCCUGGGCUCAACCUGGGAAUUGCGAUGGAUACUGGGCGACUAGAGUGCGGUAGAGGAUAGUGGAAUUUCCGGUGUAGCAGUGAAAUGCGUAGAGAUCGGAAGGAACAUCUGUGGCGAAGGCGACUAUCUGGGCCAACACUGACACUGAGACACGAAAGCGUGGGGAGCAAACAGGAUUAGAUACCCCGGUAGUCCCUGUCUCUUAUAA